AGUUAGCUUCCAACAUUAGCCCAUCUCUGAUAAGCCAAAUGCGGAUACAACAUAUAAAAGUUGUGUUGAACUCAACAGGUUAAGUAGCACACACAGUCACAUUGAAUGGCACUCGGAACACAUUUUAGCACCAGUGAUUUUUAGAGUAAAAAAGGAUAAAUUGACUCGCACACAGCUUCUAAGAACAGAAGCCCAAUAAGAACUGUGAUUGACUUACCUGCUUCAGGUUGUGUGAAGACAAAAACAGUAAUCUGGCAUUCAGAUGGAUGACCUAUAAAGCAGCACUGGAGGAUUAGCUCAGCCUGGCAGACGUCCUGUUCUGCUGAGUGACAUUUUCUACUGCAGGAAAGCUGAACAGGGUUCAAAUUUGGAGCCACUUCCAGGGACACAAAUGCUUUUAAGCUUUUUCAAGGACAGCUUUUCAAAUGUCGUCAAGUGAUUUGUCAUUCACGUUAUGAACAAUGUUUUCCUCAAUUAUUCUGAAGGAGCAGCAGAACUGCUGAGGUGGAGACUGAUGAAGUCAAUACGGUUAGUCCUGGAAAUAAACCUGGUAGAGGCUGGCGAAGAAUUGAAACUGGGCUGGAGGUUCACCGUCCAGCAUGACGACAACCUAAACAUACCAGUCAAAAACAAGACCUAAUUUCAACUGAGAAUUUUCUGGGAGAACUUGAAAAUCACUGUUCAAAGACACACUCCACUCAUUCUGAGAAUUUUUUACUUUUUCUGAUUUAUAAUUAACAACAAAAAAAAGAAACAUUUACAAAACGUGUUGUUUUGCUUCACAGUUAUGUACUACUUUGUGUCAGUCUAUCACAUAAAAUUCUGCUAAAACACCAAGACUUGUGGUUGAAAUGUGAGAAAAUGAAAAGAAAUACUUGGUAUGAAUUCUUAUUUUGUCAUCCUGGCUCAAUUUGAUUCGCCUCAGUACAAAAAUUGCAUGUUAAAAUAACAGCUGUUCACGGUGUUUUGCAUUUCUGUCACAAACAAACAAGCUACCAAAGUUUUUUGCUCACGUAUCCAAUGUUAGCCUGCCAGCGUUAGCCAUGUGCAACAUUUUGUAAAACUCUUUUUUUUUUUUUCCUGCCAGUCGAGAAUGAAUAUUUUUGACCAGAUCUGAUUUAAUUAUCCUUAAAGUAUAAUUUACAGUAGAAAGCUCUGCAGAGCCCAGGCUGCCACUGAUGGAUAUAACCAUGGCAGGCCGCUGUGUGGAAUAGAUGAGCCGUGUGUGCCAAGCCAAUGGGUCCUCCCUCUCAUUUGCAUAGCUAACAUGGCAUUCACAUUCCGGUUGACACAUUUUCAACCUGCCACUUAUCCUAUUACUGGCUGUCCCCUGUCUCAGCAUUGUUUGCUGUGUCUGCACUCUCUCCUCUUGCCAGCCCAGUUCCCACACUGUUGUGUUUCAGGGAAGCUCACAGGCUGUUUAGACGCUGCAGAACUGGACAUAGCCGGGUACGUCUAGAAACACCUGCCGGCACACUUUGGAAGACGACAUGAAAGGAAAUAUUCACAUCCAGUGCACCUCUCUUAAUGCCACAUGAAUAUACAUUCCAAAUGAGUCACUUGGCGCAAUAGCAACACUGAAAACCAGCUGAAUUACACUGAACAGCGAAACAUUCUUUGUUCAAGUAAUUUUAAUAUAAAACGUAACUUGGACAUUUUUUCAUGGGUCAUAUUCUAGGUUGAUGAAAAGCAAGAUGAGAUAUUUUCUUCAGACACGCAUGCAUAAUUUCUUUGUUGCCUCGUGUGUAUUGUGCAAGUUUCCAUUAUGGAGGUAAU